rnacentral:rRNA from 1 species
CGCCAAGGCGACGAUUGGUAGCCGGACUGAGAGGUUGAACGGCCACAUUGGGACUGAGACACGGCCCAGACUCCUACGGGAGGCAGCAGUGGGGGAUAUUGCACAAUGGGGGAAACCCUGAUGCAGCGACGCCGCGUGGAGGAAGAAGGUUUUCGGAUUGUAAACUCCUGUCGUUAGGGACGAUAAUGACGGUACCUAACAAGGAAGUGACGGCUAACUAC